rnacentral:rRNA from 1 species
CACGUAGGAGCCAAGCGUUAUCCGAAUUCACUGGGCGUAAAGCGCGUGUAGGCGGCUUGAUAAGUUGGAUGUGAAAGCUCCCGGCUCAACUGGGAGAGGACGUUCAAUACUGUCAGGCUAGAGGACGGCAGAGGGAGGUGGAAUUCCCGGUGUAGUGGUGAAAUGCGUAGAUAUCGGGAGGAACACCAGUGGCGAAGGCGGCCUUCUGGGCCGUUUCUGACGCUCAGACGCGAAAGCUAGGGGAGCAAACGGG